CUCCUCCCCAAAGCCAGAGAACAAGCCCCAGCUUGCUGUUGAAGGCCAUAAAACUUCUCUUCUUUAAAGGGCCCCUUUGUUGGGUAUGUUCAUUGUAGCAGGCAUGCAAGUCCGCCAAGGGCCCAUAAAACUUCCACGGGCUUUGUGCGGGUGACCCCACAGGCCUGCGCCUUAGCAAUCCCACCCUUAAGCCCACAAUGAAACGGUUUCUGGGUUCACCCAGAAACAGACUGGACUCAAUUUGCCUUGUGAUUUGUUUGUUAGCUUUACAAAUGGCUUUUGAGGCCAGACAACCCCUCCUAACCCUGACUACUUGAUGACUGGAAGCCCCGGGACUUCCCGGCGAACUGUGGGGGGCUCUCAGGUCUCCAUGGAGAUUUCAAAACAAUUCACCUCAAGGGAAAAGCUGUUGCUGCCCUUGAAGGGUGAGCCAGCGUUCGGACGCAGCUGGGCUGUCCUGUCUCUGGGAAGCAAAGGUGUUUCGCCUCACGGCCGCGCCGGCAUGGUCCAGGGCCCCGCUCCCUGAGAAGCUCCGAGGUUCUUGCCUGGUCCCUGACGCCGAAUCUGCUCCAGCAACCCCGCCGGUCUUGGUUCUUACCCAUCCCCUUCCCCCAGGCAGGGGUUAGUGAGCUACCCAGUCCCGCAGCCCAUCUGGAGGCCAGUGACACAAAGGACGACCCACACCGGGAUGGACACAUGACCUGAGCUGGCCAAUCAGAUUCUCUCCACCCACCUCUCUCUCUCUGGAUUUUGUAAUUAUUUAAGUGAAUCAGUUGAGAAAGAGACAAGAAAGUUGGAGCUGUUCCUGAAAACUGGCCCAAGCCCAAUCUCUUUCAGGAAAGUCUUCACGAUGACAUGACUGGACUGUGACAAGCCCAAGGCUGCCAUGGCUGAGGAACGACCUUGGCUUUGAUGCUUGAACCCCAACCUUCUCAUUAACUAGCUGAGAGAUAGAGAAGUUUUCUAUGUCUUGGUUUUCUCCCCUAUAAAAUACAAUGAUUACAAUGUUA